UUUAAGCGCAGCCAUGAGUUUUCGUGUCUAACUUUGAUCGUCCAUUUUAUUUAAAAUUUUUUUAUGAUUAAUAUUUUUUUAUUAUUAAAAGAUAAAACAUGAAUAAUCCUUUUUUUUAUUGUACAUGAAUAAUCCUUUAGUGGUGACUUAUGUUUUUAAUUUUUUUAAAAAAAACCAGAUAAGAUAAACGUUUAAAGUUAGAAAAAAAAAUAUUGUUGCGCGACGG
rnacentral:pre_miRNA from 1 species